UCAAAAUCUCAUAGCUCAAAUUUUCUCUGAUCAGAAAUCCCAAAACCUAAAAGCUUGAUUCGAUUUUGAUCGGAGUUUGUCUCUCUGAGUUUUUUUUAUCCCAAUUCUCUCUCUCCGACUACUUUCCUGACGAUCUCGUCGUCUUCAUCCUCUAUAAGCUCAGCUCCUCCGCUUCCUUUCCCUCCGAUCUCAUCACGUAAGCAAAACAUUCUUAUCUCUCGUCGUCGCUUCGAACUUCAAAACCCUCUCUUUUCCAGUUUCACUUGCUCCGAUGCUGUUUCGAAUCGGCGCUCUUCCAAUACGUCUAAUCAUCGUCGACUCUACUUCACACCACUACGCCUAGCGCCACCAUCGACUUCUGCCUCCGUCACCGUGAUGACGGACCACUCACAUCCCACCACCUCAAAUUGGGCAGCAGUGGCGGAGAAGCCGCUGCCAAUAUCGGCUGCAGCCUAUUUGAUGUGUAUUUUUGCUUCUUUGGCGGCUUUGAUGUUCAAUUGCGUUAAGGACGACAUUGACUAGUCUACUUUUGAAGAGGAUGAGUGGAGGUGAGUAAUUUGAUCCCAGCUCAAGAUAUAUCAUCAGGAAUUCAAUUUAAAUUUGAUUCAGUAUUGAAAUAAUUGUUUUCAUGAUUUUGAUUGUGAAUGCCACUGGUGUUGUUAAUGUUAGGACUCAGUACACUCCGUAGAUGAUCUAACCUUAACUCAAGCCAUCAAUUAAUGAUAUGGACAUUUAGAUGAUUCUAUACUUCAGCAAUUGAAUAUCAUUGUAAAUUGAACAUGAAUUUGAAUCUGGUUAUUGAUAAUGAUGAUGAUGAUAGGUUUAACAUGAAUUCAAUUAAUGAUGAUUAAUUGAUGAUAUUUGCUUUUAUUAUGUGUGGGAUCGUUGUACAUUGGUUUUAACUGUAAUCAGAAGCUUAGACAAGUCUUGUAAAUUGGAACGUCUUGACAUUGUUGUUGUUUCUUGUUUGUGUAUUUAUUCAAGAUUAAGUUUGGUCUCACUGAUGUUGUGGCAUUUCUUCUUUUACACAAGUAUUCCCUUCCUUUAAUGCCUUCUCUUCAUUUUCUCUUGCUCUUUCGUAUGAGGGCAAAGUUACAGAUAAAAUACCUUGGAGAGAAAUGAUCAUGGCACAAGAUUCAUACAUGUCAAGCUAUAUGUCGAAUUAGGGGUAGCAAGAAAGAAGGGUAAAUAUAUUGUUUUGUUGCUUUCCCGUUACGAACUGAACUAUUGAACAAGAAGCUAGGUAGCAGUACAAAACUACAAAUGAUUGAAAUAUAACUCCCAAGCUGAUGAGUAGAACACAAGUCUGUGCAGCCAAAGUUGUUUCCGUGUUUAAAUGAUAAUUUCAAAACGGGUGAGAGCCUCUGGUCUUUCCAUUGCUCUCUACAUGUCUAUUUGCGGCUUUGGUUAAUCUCCCAUUCUUUGUUUAUUUGUUUCAUAAAAGCAUAAACUUGUAUGUUGUAGUUACAGGGCACACUGAAUUUUGAGUUUGGAACUUCUUCUAGAGCUAUAUCUAAGCCUUGAGAACUUUCUAGUUAGAAGCAGAGAAUCAAGUCAGUGUCAUCACCGAUUGUCCCUAUCAUUGUCAACUCUGUGAUUGGUGAAGAAAUGAAGGGCUACAAUGGAUUAAAACCCUUCAUGAUGACUACUUCUUUCCACAAAGACAAUUCAAAUUCUCUGAGCCACCUGAUGCAUCAGAACUUUAAAAAUUCAACUUUUGAGAGUAACUCAUUGGUAGCAGAAGAAGAGUACUUCAAAGGCUCUGGCCAAUCAAAUUGUGAAGUUUCUUUUGAUCAUGAUUCCACGGUCUCCUUGUGUGAUAGUUGUACCCGAAUGGUUUUCUUCAGACUUGGUGACAUCUAGGCUCACUCAACACUUACUUCCAUUGUAUUUGGCCAAUGAAAAGAUGUUUACUCAACCUAGCUGCAUAUGUGCAAUAUUUAUAUCAUUUGCAGCCAACCUCUUGUUUUAUUUCCUUUAUUCAAUAAUAGAUGUAGCUCUGCUAUUUUUAAGAGUCAAGACUCAUAACACUCCUAUAUGUUCACAGUUAAUCUAUGUUUUUUAUUCAUGUCAUCAUA